GAAUGACAAUAAAUUAUUAUGUUUGUAUUUUUUUUUUUUUUUAAUUUGUUUUAGAUUUAUUUUCACACAAAAAAAAAACAAUAGAUAUGUAUACACACGUACGGAAUUCUCAUUAAUUUGAUCUUACAAACUUAUGCAGUGCUAAAAGUUUUAUAGAGGGAAAUCGUGGCGGACCGAAUCAAGUCUUCUGUGACUAAAAAAAAAAAAAUUGUUCGUCGUAUAGUGAGGUUUUCUUUAUACAUAACUUAUUAUAUUUUAUUUUAUUUUAUUGUAUCUCAGUGUUAAAUUAUAUUUUAUAUUUUUUUUAUAAUAAUUGAAAAAAGAAACAUCCCAAUCCACGUUGUAUUUUUAGGUUUCCGAACCUCGUAUGCAUCAGAGACGAUAAUAUAUAUAUAUAUAUAAAGAACCAUAAUACAAUGAUGUUAUAUUGGUAUUUUUAUAGAGUCUACGUUCAAUAUAGAUUUUCAGCAAAAGAAUAAAAAGUAAAACGGUGAAUAUUUUUGGACCACCGAGAGUUUAUAGAAUCUCAUGAUAUGUUGUGUUAUACUGCGAGGAGUCGAAAACCUCGAAGUACCAUGCACAAUAACUAUUUGCGCAAAUAUAAACCGAAGUAUAAAUAGCUGAGUUUAUUUGAUGUUGCGUACAGGUCUCAUUGAACAAGUGAUAUACUCAUACGUUUAUUUAUUAAUUAAAUUUUAAAAUUAAAAAAUUACUUUGUAAAAAAGACAAAAAAAAAAAGUAAAAUAAAAUGUAUACUAUUUGUAUUUGUCCAUUUUUUUCUUUUAUAUCAAUAAUUUAAAAUUUCACAGCGAUCAGCGAGGAGAAAAUAUAUACAUAUCUAUGUGUUGUAUUCCCGAGGGUCGAGAAAAGCUUGAUGCCACAAGUCUUGUUUUUAUAUGUAUAAAUUAUAUAUAUAUUUAUGUAUGUAAAUUGAUGCAAUUACGACCGCUUCCCCGUGGUUCAUAUAAUGU